AGCCUAAUCGCAGCCCUAUCCCUCUGCUCCUCCCACGCCCACCUCAUAUCUCUCCCCUUCAUUCCCCCUCCCCUCUUCUCAGGGAAGGGGAGCCCCCCUUGGGUACCAACCCACCCUGGCACAUCAAGUCAUCUGCACCCCUUCUUAGCACCCCCCCCAAAUAAUUUGAGAAGGGAGGCACUGGCUAGUGGGUGUCUGGUCCCCAAGGCCCAGGCCUCCUGCGGCAACCCAGCUCCCAGGAGCUGCAGGACGAGCUGAGCGGGACAGGGCGGCGUGUGGGUACUCACCUCAGGUAGUUGAGGAAAAGAAAGGCAUCAGAAGCAGUUUAUAUUUUCAUUCACUUUCCCUUUGGGGCUAUGUUACCUCUCCUACUGUCUACCAUAUUGCAAUUUAAUGAAAUCUGGAUCAUUUGGGCCUCCUACAAAGAAUCACAUUCACUUCCUAAACUGGUCAUGUGUGCAGACUUGUUCAUAAUCAGAAGAGUCUAUGAAACUGAAUCCUGUGAAUGACCUGGACCUGCUGGCUUUUCGUCUGUCUUGGGUUAAGAGAACACGAAGCCUGUUAGCAAGGCUCUCCAAAGCCCAGAGAUCAUUCAGCUGCUUUUCCUCAGUUCUGCAGAUGCACUAUGGUCAAGUUGGGCUCUGCUUGCAAAGAGGGUGAAGACAGACGUGAAGACGGGGAAAUGUGAACAGUUCCACCCACCCCCACCACCACCUUAUAUUCUCAUCUCAGGGAAUCCAGCAGGCCUGCCUCCACACCGACACUAGGAGUCUUCAUUCUGUAAAUAGUGAUUUGCUGAGCAUAUUUUGCUUGAUUCAUCAGUCAUAAGUACCUAUGUCAUGAGAUGAACAUAAUGAUGGUACACAACAAGGAUGCAACAUGUACAAGAAAUUUACAUGUCCUGACAUUUAAUAAAUGGAUAAAAUAAUACCAGGAGCUGCCGAGAUUAGUGAAGACUCAUAUAAACAUGUCUACCACACACAGAAGAGCAGACAUUCUCCCGCUUUUGACCUCCCCCUUUAUUUCAGCACCCGCUGGCCACUCAGAAUCUGUGUUGGGAAGGGGCUCACAAUCGUCUCAGUGUCUCUGCAUUGAUUCAUGCAAAGAUAAAUUAACAUCAUGCCUACUGACAGUGUGGGCAUGCAGUCAGAAUGCCUAGCUCGUGAGGCACCGUGCUACUGACUUGUCAACACCUUGGAACCCUUUCCAAAGCUUGCACCAUGACUGUCUCGGCCUGCUCCAGCCCUGCCACUUAUGCAGCAAACGCUUUGUCCUUUAGCUUUGAAAAUUCUUUCCAGGGCCAGUGAUAUGCCUCAAAGGAUGAAGACAUUUGACCACCACGUCUGCCCACUUGAGUUUGAUCCUCAGGAGCCAUAUGGUAGAAGAAAAUCAACUCUGGCAAGCAGCGCUCUGACCUAUUGGGGGCAGGGAAAAUAAAUAAAAUAUUAAAAUAUUAAAAUAAAAUAAAAUAUUAAAAUAUUCUUCAGGAAAAAAUGUGUAUAAUGAUAAAUACUCAUGAUGAAACAAGGAGGGAGUCUAUUACUUUGCAUGCUAACCUUAAAAAGUUAACUAAAUGGGGAAAGGAAUGAUGCUGUGGAUGGCUGAAUAUGGCUUACUAACUCUGUCAACUUUGGCUUUGAUGGUAACAGCUAAAUUCUCCAAGGUUUGGAACACUAAGUAGGUGAUAUAUCCAACUAUAGAGAUGCUCAGGACAGGGCAGAAAGUCUGAGGUUCUCUGCAAUGCCAAACUACUGCUGUAUCCUUACUCUCAAAUGCCUCUUCUCAACUCAGAGAGCUCUCCACACUUCACCCAGUGCCCUGUCUUCAUUGUACCCUAGAAAUCAUCUCAAGGUGUCCCACUGUGCAGCUUAGCUCACUGGUAACGAGUGUCUACGGUUUGGUACUUCACAGUAUCUUUUUGUGUGUUUUAUAAAAUAUUUGGUUAUUUGAUAAGGAUAUUACUGCUGCUAUUACUUCAUCAAAUCCAGAAAUUAAAAUCUCUUGUCCAUUUUUAAAAACUAUAUCUUUAGGACUGGCUGCAAAGUCCUCCUCUGUGUCCUAGCAGGACUGCUCCUCCCUUGGGUGGUGGGGAGGUACCUGAUAAACCAGGGUCAGAUGAAAGGGGAGGAGGUCCUCCCCAAUCAGUGGACUUUGAAAGGGGAAGGAAAGAGAUGAGGGAGGGAGGGUGGGAUUGGGAGGGAAUGAGGGAGCGGAUACAGCUGGGAUACAGAAUUAAUAAAAUGUAACUAAUAAUAAUAAAAAAAAACUGUAUCUUUAAAAUGAAAAAUUUAAAUGUGUCCUCCUCUUUCCCCUUUGCUAAUUUGUAUUCACACAAUAAAACUAUCUUCAA